rnacentral:rRNA from 1 species
AUUGAACGCUGGCUGCAGGCUUAACACAUGCACGUCGAGCGAGCGGCGGACGGGUGAGUAAUGUCUGGGAAACUGCCUGAUGGAGGUGGAUAACUACUGGAAACGGUAGCUAAUACCGCAUACCAUCAGAUAUGCCCAGAUGGCAUUAGCUAUGGGGUGGGAUAAUCGCGCACCUAGGCGACGAUCCCUACCUGGUCUGAGAGGAUGAAGAGCCACACGUGAGCUUAGACACGGUCGAGAAUCAUAGGGGAGGGCGCAGUGGGGAAUAUUGCACAAUGGGGGCAAGGCUGAUUCAGCCAUGCCGCGUGUGUGAAGAAGGCCUUCGGUUUGUAAAGCACUUUCAGAGAGGAGGCGUUACUAGAAGAAGAAGCACCGGCUAACUCCGUGCCAGCAGCCGGGGUAAUUC